UCCAGGACCUCCCCCCAUCUCUUUGCUGUGUUAUCUUGAGGCAAUAGCUUAAUGACCCUGAAUAUCCGUUUCUUCUGUUUAAAAAAGGGAGAGAGGGCCUAACAAUACCAUGUGCCGGGCUGGUGAACAACUGGACAGGAUCACAGCUGCCGAUCAGCACCUCCCACCGAAGCUGAGCUCCAGGGUGUGACCCAGUGGAAAUGCCUAGGGACUGACCAGCCUCCCACCUGCCAGACCGCCCUUUGUCAGCAUCAAGGCCAGGUGCAUCAGGUAACCCAGAGAUGGAGGGCAGGAGGGAGUAUUACCAGCAGGACCUCAAACACCAUUACUGAUUAUGGGCAACACAGCACCUCCCCGGCAUCCUCUUCCAGAUGUAAUUACUGGAUGGCCUGAUGUCCCAAUUGACUGUACUCCUGGAUCGGCAUUCAGGAGAAUGAGACCAGUUCUGAAAGAAACCACAUGGGGGUGUCCUGGGACACACACAUGUGCUCACUUGUAAAGACUGAUGCAGCAGACACUCAGCAGCAAUUCCCCCAUCUUUCUGGAAUGCCACUUCU